CCAUUAGCUGCACGUUUUUCUUCUCUGCAUCUUCUUCUCGAUCUCUCCCUCCUUUCCAGCAAGUUGCGCCAUUUUCUCGCAGAUUAAUACCAUAUUUUUCCAUUUUAUUGUUUUUCAUGUUUUUCUUCAGGCUAAACUCUGUAAUUUGAAUUUGUGG